CUUAAAUUAGAUGUGACUUCUGACAAUACAAUGGAAAACAUUGUGGUAUCAUUACUGUAAUAAUCACUGGCUGACCCUUCCUGGUGACAUUUCACUAGCGUUUGCUGAAGAAAUCGAAGGACCGCCUUAACAUUGGACACUCAAAAAUGUUUAGCUUUUACUGGGACCCUUGGACUUUUGGUGACAAUUAAAAAUUUAAAUCGCCUAAAUACAAUCAGCACAUUUAUGUGCAAAGCGGUUUGUUUAAAUAUCACUAACUACUGGUAAAUCAAUGACGGUUCAGCAGAUUGCUUCGUUUCUUCAGCACGGCCUUCAAACUACUUCAGCAAAGCAAAUUUGCUUAGCUAAAUGGUCAAUUAGUGGUGUGCAGUGUGUACCCAAAGUAGCCAGCUGCUUGGCUUCUGAUGGAGGAAAAAAUGACGCUCUACUAGGCGAAAGAUUUUGAAAAGACUUCGAAGUGUCCUUAUUGAAGAAUUUCUCAAGAAAAGUUUCUGCUCUCGAAAAGCUAGAACAUAGUGUUUUCGUAAAUUUACUGGUUCUGCAUUUUUUGCCACAGAUUCUUUUGGCCCCCAACUCAAUUAGAAGCAGGAUUCGUAGUCUGUUCUUUGCCAGUAUGAAAAUUUUUCUGGUUAAAUUGAUCAUGAAAAGUUUCUCUUCCUCAAAAAGCUAGAAACCAGUGCCUUCGCAAGCUUACUGGUACUGCAAAAAAAUAAUUUCCUCCACGGCUUCUCUUCGUACUCAACUCAAUUGGAAGCAGGAGACAGCAGUAGGCUAUUAGGCCUACAGCUUAUCUCCUAUAGGGCAUUUUUCGAUUUUAAAGCUUUAAUAUCUUCAGCUGAUUUUCAAAAGAGCAAUUUUUUAAAGAAAUUCCUAGGAGAUUAUCCCACGGCCGCUCGUGAAGAAAUUGCUGAAGAUAUAUUUUUUUUAAAUUCAUGAACAAAAACUCCGUUUUCCAUUUCGCAGUUUUGAAACGUAUUUGUUUAAAAAGACUCAAUCCCCAUUUACUCAAGCCCCAAAGAUGUUAAUGUAAGCUAAAAACCCUUGAUUUCAGCUUCAUCAUCAGAAUAUGUUCUACUUCCAAAACAUUUUUCUACCCUUUACUAUUCUUGUAUCUUCCCUCAUAAAGCUUUGCCUCAGUUGCGACUGUAUUGCCAAAUGUAGGUAUGAUGCAGCUGAGGAAUGAAACAUUACCUACAAGCAAAUAAAGAGCGGGAUUCGAUUCUUCUUUUCUCCAAAAAAACUUUCUCUUAAAAUCCAAUUUUUUUCAGUAUUAAAACUACAAAGCCACCGUUGUUGCUGCCCAAAAAAAAACUCCAGACAUCAGUGGCGAUCACAAACCUUCUCGAAACAAUUAAAAUUCUCCUUGACUAAUUAACACGUUUUUUUAUUGAAACAUAAUUAAAGCGUCUUCAAUUAGCA